rnacentral:rRNA from 1 species
CGAAAACCUGAUCCAGCAAUGCCGCGUGAGUGAAGAAGGCCUUCGGGUUGUAAAGCUCUUUCAGUCGAGAAGAAAAGGUUGUGACUAAUAAUCACAAUUUAUGACGGUAUCGACAGAAGAAGCACCGGCUAACUACGUGCCAGCAGCCGCGGUAAUACGUAGGGUGCAAGCGUUAAUCGGAAUUACUGGGCGUAAAGGGUGCGCAGGCGGCUUUGUAAGUCAGAUGUGAAAUCCCCGGGCUUAACCUGGGAAUUGCGUUUGAAACUACAAAGCUAGAGU